rnacentral:rRNA from 1 species
CAAUAGCGUAUAUUAAAGUUGUUGCGGUUAAAAAGCUCGUAGUUGGAUUUCUGCUGAGGACGACCGGUCCGCCCUCUGGGUGAGUAUCUGGCUCGGCCUUGGCAUCUUCUUGGAGAACGUUGCUGCACUUGACUGUGUGGCGCGGUAUCCAGGACAUUUACUUUGAGGAAAUUAGAGUGUUUCAAGCAGGCAUACGCCUUGAAUACAUUAGCAUGGAAUAAUAAGAUAGGACCUCGGUUCUAUUUUGUUGGUUUCUAGAGCUGAGGUAAUGAUUAAUAGGGAUAGUUGGGGGCAUUCGUAUUUAACUGUCAGAGGUGAAAUUCUUGGAUUUAUGAAAGACGAACUUCUGCGAAAGCAUUUGCCAAGGAUGUUUUCAUUAA